GGUUUGAUGGGGCAGGAGCCUCAAUGAAGCCGAGUGGCUGGGUCGUCUUACGGCUCUUUCCUGCCCCUGUCAUUCAGAAGCUUCUGCAAGUCUCGGCGAUGGUGGGUCUACCAGCCCCAGCCAGCGGCUUCCCUUCCCCGACCCCCUGCGUUUGCCAGCCUGGCCUAAGUCUCUGUUUCAGAAUAUCUGCUCUUGCGAGCCCGCGGCCAGAGGUGCUGGGGGCGUUCGUGCGCGUCUAUUAGGAGGCGCGUGGUAGUGAUGGCGGCGCUCAGUGAGACUUUCCUGUCACUGGAUACUACUACUCCCAGCCCUUCUCAAAGCCGCCGGAGCAACCCCCUGGUCUUUAGUUUACUAGUGGCAAUUUGACUUGCUCCGCUGCAUGUCUGGAGGGACUGAGGAAAGUGUGGAGACGCCCCGGGGACUGCGCGAUCGCAGUUUGGAAAGAAAAAAAGCCAAACAAAUAAACAAAACCCACCCACCCUAACAAACAUGAGGCUGCUGGAGAGAAUGAGGAAGGAAUGGUUCAUGGUCGGAAUAGUGCUGGCGAUCGCCGGAGCUAAGCUGGAGCCGUCCAUAGGGGUGAACGGGGGACCACUGAAGCCAGAAAUAACAGUAUCCUACAUUGCUGUUGCAACAAUAUUCUUUAACAGUGGACUAUCAUUAAAAACGGAGGAGCUGACCAGUGCUUUGGUACAUAUAAAACUGCAUCUGUUUAUUCAGAUCUUUACACUUGCGUUCUUCCCAACAGCAAUAUGGCUUUUUCUUCAGCUUUUGUCAAUCACACCCAUCAAUGAAUGGCUUUUAAAAGGUUUACAGACAGUAGGUUGCAUGCCUCCUCCUGUAUCUUCUGCAGUGAUUUUAACCAAGGCAGUUGGUGGAAAUGAGGCAGCUGCAAUAUUUAAUUCAGCCUUUGGAAGUUUUUUGGGAAAUACCUAUGCUGAAUCAUAUGGGCAUCGUUAUAACACCCCUGCUACUGCUGCUAUUUCUUGGCUCAUCCUCUUCUGUGCCUUUUACAUCUAUUUUUUCUCAGCUUUUUAUGACUGUUGUGGUUCCUCUCAUUAUCGGACAGAUUGUCCGGAGAUACAUCAAGGAUUGGCUUGAAAGAAAGAAGCCUCCCUUUGGUGCCGUCAGCAGCAGUGUGCUCCUCAUGAUCAUCUACACAACGUUCUGUGACACCUUCUCUAACCCAAACAUUGACCUGGACAAGUUCAGCCUUGUUCUCAUACUGUUCAUAAUAUUUUCUAUUCAGCUGAGUUUUAUGCUUUUAACCUUCAUCUUUUCAACAAGGAAUAAUUCGGGUUUCACACCAGCAGACACAGUGGCUAUCAUUUUCUGUUCUACACACAAAUCCCUCACGUUGGGAAUUCCGAUGCUGAAGAUAGUGUUUGCAGGCCAUGAACAUCUCUCUUUGAUAUCCGUACCCUUGCUCAUCUACCACCCAGCUCAGAUCCUUCUGGGGAGUGUGUUGGUGCCAACAAUUAAGUCUUGGAUGGUGUCGAGGCAGAAGGGAGUGAAGUUGACAAGGCCAACAGUAUAACAAGAGGAGCACUUUCUGUAGUGGUGUAUAUAUGUACAGGAUUGUACAGGCAAACAAUUCUGAAGACUUGUACUUGUGAAUGUUGCUUCAAUGAAUAUUUUAUUUUUUUACACAAAAAUAUGAUAUACCUGCUUAAGUGCCUUAAAAUGUAUUUGACAAGAGCGUUAUUUCCAAAACAUACUUUGUAGGUUGCUGCCAGGGGUGGUAUAAUAUUUCGGAGUUAAUUUUUUUUUCCUAAUGCAGGAAAUAGUCACAAUAAGUGACAAAAAGCAAACAUGCUUUCUCUGCACCACCUUUUGUGCAAUACUAUAUAAUAUUUACUGUAAUGUUCGAAAUGAGGUCACACCAUCAGGAAAAUGCCCUUCUGAUGACAGUGAACAUUUCCAAAGUCUUAUCCAUGCACACUUUGAUUUACUGUGUGAUUUUUUUUUCCUACAACUGUGACAUGCCUCUUUUUUAUCAACUCAGCAGGGGUUAUAGAGGGAAUAGAUGCUGAAAAGAGUAAGUUCUCUGCAUUCCUUGACAUCAUUUUUUAAGGCAUCCUUUCAAAUAGUUUCUGCAUAGAAAUUCCUCAUUCCUAUUAUAAGAGAUUGUGAUGCUAUAUGGCUUAAAUUUAUUAUAUGCUGCUUCAAAGAAAAAUCCCUAUGUUUGAGUUAUGAGUGAAUUAAGUGAAGUUUUUGAGUUAGAUUAUGUAACUUGGUUUUCAGGGUCCUUAAAUUGUAUCUUAAUAUGAUUUUCCUCUUCUAUAAUUUUUUUCUUACCUGUUUUCCAAUACACUUGAACACUUGUAAUAGCCAAAUAUGAGGCACAAAAAUGUUACAAUUGGUUUGAAAGCAGCAACAAUUAAUGAUGGGUAAUAUUCACAUUCCACGACUGAGACCAAAUUUUUUUUCCUGUUACACAGAUGUGCUGAGCACUUUCCGAAUUGCCCCUUUUAGCCAGAAACAGCCUGUUACAUCUUGGAAUUAAGCACACCCAAGACAUUUGAGACAAUUAAUUAAUGAGAAUUUCCUUGGCAGAUCUGACAAAUGUUUGCAACAUUUUUGAAAAAGUUAAACCAUAUUGCUCUUAUGAAUAAAUGAAAAUAUAAAGGUCAUAGAUGCAAACUCAUGUUACAUAUACACAUUCUGUCUAGCCAGAUGGAAAGAAAAUGCAACAGCAUUCAUUAACCAAAAUAUCAAGUAAAAUUAGUUCCCCAUUGGGUACCAGCUUUCAAAGGAGUAUCCAAUAAUUGCUUCUACUGUGGCUGCAAGAACUUUAACUGGACCCAAAUAGAGAAUAAAGGAAUAUAUAGAACUAAGGGAACACUUUUUCUGUUUCCUGUACACUAUCCUGACAUACCUCCCUACAUGUCCUGUCUUGAUUUGACAGAUAGUAUUGGCAUCCUGGGUCUCACCGAAGCCACACAAUAUCCUCAGCAGCUGUUUGUGCUAUGUUGUUGUUGCGCCCAGAGCAACGAAAAAUCAUCCCUUAGAAACUUACCAUGUGUAUCAGUACUGUAAGUUUAUAUUAUUGUUACUAUCAGGUUUCAUCUUUUGUCCAUGUCAUUGACCCUCAGAAAUUUUAUAAGAGUUAUGCUCAAUGUAAAUUUUAAGGCUACUACCAGACUCUACAAAAAUCUGUGCUAAACAGGCUGUAGUAUACACAGUUAUCAAGAAUUUCACUUUUGUCUCAACCUGCAGUCAUUUUGCAUGCUAUUUUUGAUGCUUCUAGAAAGCAGAGAAAGGCUUUCGUGUUUUGUUUCUACAAGCUUCUUUGGAUUUUAGAGUAAAUGGAAAUGUCUGUCUAUCAUCUGUCUCUCUGAGCUAUCAUAAAAAUCUUUCUUCCUAGCAUUACAAUACUGAUUCUCCCCAACUUAUCUACCUCUAUUGUCUAACACCUAUAGUAGGUGUGAUUAUGGGAUAAAAUUCAGCUGAAAAUGCUAUGAUAACAUCUGCUCUUUUGCUUUAAAAAAUGUUUUGUUUUCAAAUAAUCUUUACAUAGUGAACUUUGGUGGCUUUAGUGACAUGUUUGUGCCUAUUUCUUUUUUUACACAAAUGCUGUGGCAUAUUUUUUCAUAAAGAACAAAAAAUAAAAUUUAUUUUUAAUUCGUGCUUAUUGGGAUUUAAUUAUUCAGAGCUUAAAUAUUUUGUUAUGUUUAUACACUGUCAAGCUGUUUGUUUUAUGUUAUUUGUUUUAUCUAAGUGUAUUUAUGAAAGAAAUACAUUAGAUUAUAUUUAUGUUUACUCACUUUUCCACCUGGCUUUUUUUUUAAUGGUUGUUAUGAAAUGGGAUUUUUAAUGGAUAAUAAUGUUGAUCUUUUCAUGUUUUUUUUUUUUCUAGGUUCUAAAAUUUUUUGUGGGUUUUUAAAAAAUAUUCUUUCCUAUUCUGUUUAAGACUAACACACCUCUGGCUAAUGUUCAGUGUUUGUUUUGUUAUGCUAAGUACCAAAUUUUUUUCAAAAGGUUUGGUUAAGUAAUGAAGUGGAUUAUUUAUGAUGAAUGGAAGAUGAAAAUAAUUCUAUAAUUAAACAAAGAUGUUUCAGAAAUCA